AGAUUUUAUGUGGUGCUGCAAAUUUAAGGUUGAGACAAUAUUGGACAACAUAUACGUAUAAACGCUAAAGGUACAGAUACUCAUUUUGGAGAGCCGCCACCUUAGGAUUCUACUCAACGGGUUGAAGUGCUCCAUUGUCUCGGAGCCUAAACUUUUGGUACUAAUCCUUAUAAUGUAUAUAUUUGUGUAUUUAGGGGUACGGCGGGCCCCUGUCCCGUCAUAUGCUAUUGUUAAUCCUCUUAGAGGUCUGUAGACACAUGAGUGGGUUGUAUGUAGAUGUUGUCUGGUGUACUAGUAUGGCUUAUGUUUUUGGACAUUUACAUUCGGAGUGAAAGCCUUGUCGGCUUACGUAUUAUGUUAUCUUAUUUUUGACAAUUAAGACUCCCCAAGAAAUAGCUGAUUUUGGUAUAUAUAUAAGUGACCGUUUGAGACAACGUGCUACCCAUAUAAAUUCUA